rnacentral:rRNA from 1 species
UACAGAGGGGGCCAGCGUUAUUCGGAAUUAUUGGGCGUAAAGGGCGCGUAGGCGGCUUUGCGUGUCUUUCGUGAAAUCCCUCGGCUCAACUGAGGACGUGCGGAAGAAACUGCAGGGCUGGAGUCCGGGAGAGGAGGGUGGAAUUCCCGAGUGUAGCGGUGAAAUGCGUAGAUAUUGGGAGGAACACCGGUGGCGAAGGCGGCCCUCUGGACCGGUACUGACACUGAGGCACGAAAGCGUGGGGAGCAAACAGGG